GAUGAACGCUGGCGGCGUGCCUAAUACAUGCAAGUCGAGCGAACGGACGAGGAGCUUGCUCCUCUGACGUUAGCGGCGGACGGGGGAGUAACACGUGGAUAACCUCCCUAUAAGACUGGGAUAACUUCGGGAAACCGGAGCUAAUACCGGAUAAUAUAUUGAACCGCAUGGUUCAAUAGUGAAAGACGGUUUUGCUGUCACUUAUAGAUGGAUCCGCGACGCAUUCGCUAGUUGGUAAGGUAACUGCUUAGCAAGGCAACGAUGCGUAGCCGCCCUGAGAGGGUGAUCGGCCACACUGGAACUGAGACACGGUCCAGACUCCUACGGGAGGCAGCAGUAGGGAAUCUUCCGCAAUGGGCGAAAGCUUGACGGAGCAACGCCGCGUGAGUGAUGAAGGUCUUCGGAUCGUAAAACUCUGUUAUUAGGGAAGAACAAAUGUGUAAGUAACUAUGCACGUCUUGACGGUACCUAAUCAGAAAGCCACGGCUAACUACGUG
rnacentral:rRNA from 1 species